ensembl:lncRNA
AUGCCAAUAAUAUGUCUCGUUUUGGACUCUUUGUCUCUUCAAAGCACCUACAUUUUUUCAAACCCUUUUAAUGGAUUCCCAUGUUUGUCAUUUACAGAUAUUUACGAUAAGACUUGGACCGCUCUUUAUUUUUUCUUGCCGGCCGCCUCUUCGGGGAUGAAGACACUUACGGUGAAGUCGCCGCUCUCCGUGCCGUACUUGUUCUUCACCAGGAUGCUGUAUUUGCCAGAGUCUGAGGUGUUCACAGCAGUGAUGGUGAAGCUGGCGAACUUGCCCGACUCGAACUUGAGGAUGCAGUGCUCGUCAGACGUGAUCUCCCUGUCGUUCUUCAGCCAGGUCACCUCCGGCACAGGGUUACCCGAAAUGUUGCAGAUCUCACCUUGACCAGAGAGCUCCACGCUCCUCCGGAGGCCUCCCUUCCCGUCGUUGAACUCGAUGGCGUACUUCCCCGUGUCUUUCUCCGUGGGAUCGGUGAUCUGAAGCCACAGCUGCUCUCCCACCACGCCGCUCUUUAUACGGUCGGAGAAGGCAAUGGCAGAAUCCCUGACGGAGAGGAAACACGUCUGUAAGAAAAAAACAAACCCAAAACAACUGUUUCUGGUUUUCUUCGUAGACCCACUUGUGCUGCCAUGUGACCUGGAGUAGAUCGUUAUAGUAGCUGACGAAGGUGUAGAGCCGGAUGCCCUCGUCCGUACUCGUGAUCUUCAGGGGCGUCGAGGAAUUAGCUGGAAAGACGAACACGUUAGCGCUUCAAUACAGUUUACGACGGAGUAUUAGGGUCACCUAAAAAAAAAAAAAAAAAGGAAUAUUACAAGUUUUUUUCUCGUAGAUAUACGACUUUAAAUCUCGUAAAUGUAUGAGUUUUAAUCUCGUAGAUUUACGACUUUUUUCUCGUAAUGUAUUAAAGUCGAGGGGAGUCUACAUUCCAGCGAAUUUAUGCCGUGAACUGAAGCAGACCAACCAAACUGUGAAAAGCGUCUUGGAUUUCAUCAGGUAAACUGAAUGUUUAAAAUAUUUCAAAUAUUUGGAAGUUUCUUUAUUUGAUUUACAGUUUAUUAAUGUUUUAUUUGUUGAUGCUGCUUGCAGGAUCUCUGCAGAUCCCGUUUAUGAAGCGGUCCAUAUCCUCCAGCUGUCCACUUCAUGUCAUUUCUUCCUCUGACAGACCAGAUCUCCUCCAACUCUGUGAUGCUUCCGUCUGAAGAGGACGAGUUUUUGGAAUUUUCAAUGUUCUUGUGCUAACGUUGUCAUUUCUCAAUGUUGUUUUGUGUCGAGACGGGACGUUUCAUUUGGGGAAGGAGGCGUCCGGAGCUCUGUUUACAUUCUCUUUUGGUUUCUGAGCAUGACAGAGACAUGAUGUAAGGUGGCGAAAGGAAAUGAAAGAUGUAAUAAAGUGACGAUCUUGAUGAACGUGUAUCUCUGAGCUCUUUAUUUUACAUGUGAAACUCCGCACUGUUGUGUAUUGAAGUUAGCUGUUUAAGAACUGCAUUACCCAGAAGGCCAAGCGACUGGUCACAUGUUCGGUGCACGGCAAGUAGUAAGCAGAUGAGCGCUAGUCAUGCACAGUGUAGCAGUAUGAAGAGACUGUUAAUAAAAAGUCUGUUUAACACAAUAAUAGCGCCUCUUUUGCUUACUUGAAGAUACGCAAGACAACACACGCACUACCGAACCCGGAAAUAAUUUGAUUUUGAAUCGCCAAAAGGUUCAGAAUUUCUUUGUUUUUAACACCGAUCUGGACAUAAUCUACACCAGAUUCUCCACGUCUUUCAUCUUCAAGCACGGCUCUGAUAAACAGACAACUUUGGUUCUUUUCUCAUUAAAUUACGACUUUUAAUCUCGUAGAUUUACGACUUUAAAUCGAGUAGAUUUACGACUUUAAAUCGAG